GUGAAUCAUCAAAUUUUUGAACGCAAAUUGCACUCUCUGGUAUUCCGGAGAGUAUGCCUGUUUGAGAGUCAGUUUAAUUAAAAAUCGGUGUGGUUGCUGCCUUUCGUGGUGACGCACCGGAUGUGGGUCGCCUUGCCUUUGGUUAAGGUACCUAAAAUUUAGCUAGAUUUUUUCGAAGGUAUUUAAUUGAUUUUACGUACGUUUGCGAUAUUGAAUACUAGGCGCUGUUAUCC
rnacentral:misc_RNA from 1 species